rnacentral:rRNA from 1 species
AUCCAAGCGUUAUCCGGAAUCAUUGGGUUUAAAGGGUCCGUAGGCGGGCAGUUAAGUCAGUGGUGAAAGUCUUCCGCUCAACGGGAGAACUGCCAUUGAUACUGAUUGUCUUGAGUUAUUAUGAAGUGGUUAGAAUGAGUAGUGUAGCGGUGAAAUGCAUAGAUAUUACUCAGAAUACCGAUUGCGAAGGCAGAUCACUAAUAAUAUACUGACGCUGAUGGACGAAAGCGUAGGUAGCGGACAGGAUUAGAUACCCUGGUAGUCUACGCCGUAAACGAUGGUUACUAGCUGUUCGGCCCGAUUAAGGGCUGAGUGGUUAAGCGAAAGUGAUAAGUAACCCACCUGGGGAGUACGUUCGCAAGAAUGAAACUCAAAGGAAUUGACGGGGGCCCGCGCAAGCGGUGGAGCAUGUGGUUUAAUUCGAUGAUACGCGAGGAACCUUACCAGGGCUUAAAUGUAGUCUGACAGGAGUGGAAACACUUUUUUCUUCGGACAGAUUACAAGGUGCUGCAUGGUUGUCGUCAGCUCGUGCCGUGAGGUGUCAGGUUAAGUCCUAUAACGAGCGCAACCCCUGUGGUUAGUUGCCAGCGAGUAAUGUCGGGAACUCUAGCCAGACUGCCGGUGCAAACCGUGAGGAAGGUGGGGAUGACGUCAAAUCAUCACGGCCCUUACGUCCUGGGCCACACACGUGCUACAAUGGUAGGGACAGAGAGCAGCCACUUCGCGAGAAGGAGCGAAUCUACAAACCCUAUCACAGUUCGGAUCGCAGUCUGCAACUCGACUGCGUGAAGCUGGAAUCGCUAGUAAUCGCAUAUCAGCCAUGAUGCG